AGUGAACGCUGGCGGUAUGCCUAACACAUGCAAGUCGAACGGCAGCACAGUAAGAGCUUGCUCUUACGGGUGGCGAGUGGCGGACGGUUGAGGAAUACAUCGGAAUCUACUUUUUCGUGGGGGAUAACGUAGGUAAACUUACGCUAAUACCGCAUACUAACUACGGGUGAAAGCAGGGGAUCUUCGUACCUUGCGCGAUUGAAUGAUCCGAUGUCGGAUUAGCUAGUUGGCGGGGUAAAGGCCCACCAAGGCGACGAUCCGUAGCUGGUCUGAGAGGAUGAUCAGCCACACUGGAACUGAGACACGGUCAAGACUCCUACGGGAGGCAGCAGUGGGGAAUAUUGGACAAUGGGCGCAAGCAUGAUCCAGCCAUACCGAGUGGGUGAGGAAGGCCUUGGGGUUGUAAAGCCCUUUUGUUGGGAAAGAAAAGCAGCAGGUUAAUACCACGCUGUUCUGACGGUACCCAAAGAAUAAGCACCGGCUAACUUCGUG
rnacentral:rRNA from 1 species